UUGAAAAACUCGACUGCUUUUCUAAUUUAUGUGCGCCUAAUACUAAAUAAAUGCGCUUUAUGAAAAAUAUUCGACUUUCUAUUAUAUUGUGAUAGUUUCCGAAAUGUAUAUUAUAUUUGUCGCUACUAAUAGAAUCAAGUCAUUAAUCUUCGCACAUAAAAUGUAAAACAACAAAUUUACCCCUGGAAUGUGAUGGAAAAAUAAAAAAAUCUGAAAUGGCGAGAUUUACUUAGGAACUAAUGAUAUUUAGAAUAUCAGAGGAAAAACUCAUUUUUACGAUAACCCAGUGCAUAGUUUCAGCAGGUGGAUUCAAGCUGCAGUGUUUUUGCUUUCUCCACACUGGAAGUCGUGCCGGAAGUUAAUCGGAAUAUAAGAACUAUAGGAGCUGUGGGCGAACAAAGGAAUAAUGCACAAAUGCUGCAGAAACUCUGGGAGCACCAUCUAUUCAUCAUUCCGGAAAUUAUAAACCAACAAUCCAAUCGUGUCGGCGUACUGCAUUUUCAACGAUUUCAAGAAAUGCCUGAUGUUAAUCGUUGGAGCAGGAGCAAGAGCGGGAUGACUAUAGAGGAAAUAAAAGUUCGUAAAUAAAUUAUGACUGCACGCUGGAACUUCGUUAGCAGUACUCUGAAACUCUUAUUCCUACAGAAAUUUGUAACUAUUAUUAUUGCGAAUAAAAUAAUCAUUAUAUUAUGAAACACA